ensembl:snRNA Rnu7-ps1 U7 small nuclear RNA
GAGUGAACACAGCUCUUUUAGAAUUUUUUUUUCUGGCUUUCUGAUUUUGAUCGGAAAACCCAA